UGGCGGUAGGGGGACGCUGGCGCUGAGGGAGCUGUGGCGGGGCAGUGUCCGGGCUGCCAGCACGGCGCUGGAGGCCGGACUGCCCGUCGGCACUGGGGAAAGGGAAGAACUUGGUUCUGCUCCUGUCCGGCUUCGAUGCUCAGGAACAGAUGUCUGGUUUCUUAGUGAAGAAAUCUUACCUAUGCUCGGAGGCCAAGUUCUCAAGACCCCAGAUGAGCUAAUAUGCUUAAAGGACUGACGUUAGGAUCCUGCAGGAGUUGGAGGCCAGAAGUUACUAACAGAUGGGAAGGUUCCAGCCAUCUGUACAUGAGAAGUACUGGAAAUUUCAAAUGGGAUUUCCCCUUGUUUCAUCAGGACCUCUACAAAGAUUGUUAAGAAAAGCUGCUUGCAGCAUUGCUACCUGAAUGAUGUCUGAACAGAGGAAGAAGGAAUCACAGAAUCAAAGAAUGGUGGCUGUCUUGGCUGCCUGUUCAGAAGCAAUAUUUUAUCUAUACAAUUGAAAGAAAAACCUUGCAAUAUGAUCAUGCUCUCUUUGCUCGUAUCAAGAUCACCAUGUUAGUUCAGAGUUACAGCAGCGCUGAUUUCAGAGUAUUGUGUUCAGCCCCUGUGUUGGCACAUGAUUAUAUACGCAUCAGAGCCUCUCCCCGUGUGAGUGAACUGAUACUGCAGCCUUCUCCUCAGCUGGUGGUUCCUGGCUGCUCACUUUCAUGAGACACAGGAAUGGCCUUAUCUUUGAGAUCUACAUGUCAAGUUUGGUUGAUACUGUACAGUAAUGAGCUUGGAAACCUCAUGUCCUCAGAAAACCAGUUGGAAUUGUACAAUGCAGAUGGUAUAUUACUACUGGUUUUGGUGGAGUUCCUGACAAGUUUGAAGGGUAAAGCCUGCUUAAAAACCAAAAGUGCCAUUUGGUCCUUUUCCAGAAACCUGUUUACGAGGGAUGCUAAUCUGAAAUAGCUACUUAGUGUAAAAUGUAACCCAUACUUAGGAUGAAAUCUGGAGUCUGGAUUUGAAGGAACCAGACUGUCAUCCUGAGAAUCUCACCUGUAUCAUCUACCCAUUUCAUAAGGCUCCAUGGCAUCCUGAACUUGGCGGGCAACUAUUUAUGUAUCAUGCUGAUGACUGCAGGAUAAAUAAGGACAUCGUUUAUAUAGAACUCCCCUCUGCUAAUCCUGGCCCUUCUACUUCAUUGUUGCUUGAGACUGGACAUAUAAGAACUAUGAAGAAAGGUCUCAUUUUCUCCAUCUGGAAGCUGCAGAUAAUACUCUUUACCUAAACCAGAGGGAUGUUGUGAGUGCUCAUGGUUAUAAUAGUCCAUUUCUAAAUAAUGUCAUUGUAAAAAGAGAUUGUUGAAACCAUCUAAAAAGUAAUGUUUUGUAAGAGUUUAGUGGUGAAUGUUUAUCUAUUCAGCUCAUACUAUUAGAACACCAGUAUUUGGGGUUUUUUUAAUUGUAUUUUUAGCUGAAUAAUAACAUUUCUUGAUUUAAAGUUGCAUCUCUAAUGACCUUUCCUGGAUGCUAAAUUUUAGAUUGCAUUUACAUAUGAGACACUGCUAUUUUGUUAAGUAGGAGACAUAUUAUGAGGAUAAUCAGUUUAUCUUAAGCUGUAAUUCUAUGUCUAGCAAGGAUUCAAAUUUCUAGGAUGGAGAAUGGCUAAUGGCUUAGUGAAGUCUGGUAAAACAUCUUUGAGAUAAAUCCCAGCAUAAUGAGAUCAGUUAGAUCUAACUGGAAAAUGGGAGAGAAGCUUAAUUUUAAUUUUCAAAUGCACAGUUUGGUGCUUUGCUUUUUUAUUUUACAACUUGACAGAGCUAUAUCUGAAAUUAAAAAAAUGCUGGAACUGGAUGGAUCUUUUGAAUAUGCAUAAACUAAAAGGGAGAAACUAAACUAAAAACAAAAAAAGGAGAAGUAGCUAGCUUCAUGUAAGGUUAGAUUUUCUACUCCACGGAAACUAAUUUGCCUCCAAUGUAAAUUCUCUGGUGAAAGGAUGUGCGCCCUUUGCAGCUGCAAGAUGCUUCUUACAUGGGUUAUGUGGGUACUAAAAUAGCACAGGCAGCAAAAUAACAGUAACAAUCAUUUCAGUCACAGAGAUUGCAUACACAAUCAAGGGGUCCUUGUCAAAUUAGGUAGCAUCUGGUUUCUUGGCAUUUAGGUUUGUAUUUUAACUAAUGUGUUAACAAUAGUUUCCACUUUUAUUUUUAAAUGUAUGCAGUAUAUCAUGCUUUUGUGUUUUACUAUUUUCAUACAAUUACUGUCCUCGUGACAGAAACUGGGCAGGCCUUGCUGCAGGAUUAAAACUGCUGUUGAAGCACACAGUGUAUGAAGUGGGAGUGCAAACUUUUUAGGGCAGUCAAUACAUUUUCAUUCCGAACUCCAAAGGGAAUAACAACUUGCCUACACACACAAAAUAUUCCAGAAACGCUAUAUAUUUAAAAUACAAUUGCUUUUUCUGAAAUUGCUCCAUGUUUUGGAGUCUGAGAAGGUAAAUCACAGUGAAUAGCCUUCUCAAGCUUUAGCCUCUAAAGCCAGCUCAGGAGCUCCUAACCACCAUCACUGUCAUUUCUGAGUCACAGUACUUUUGUCACCUAAAAUCUGCAUGUGACUGAUCAACAUUUCAGGGGGAAGAGAACACCGUUUCUGACAGCUCUUGUGAAUCAACUCUGAGUAACAGGACAUUGGCAGAUGUAGGAGACAGCUCACACUGAACAGAAGGAUCCUCAGUUCCCACCAUUUUUGAGACCCACUGUGGAAGUAGAGCCCAGAGCAAGAGACAGACGGACUGAGGGCACUCAUCAACUCAGCACUGAGCUCCUUCAGAAACUGGCUGUAUCUAUUAGAAAGGAAAGCACAGGGGGCACAGAAGGCAGGUGGUGAAGGACCUGGGGAAACCCAAUACUGCAUCUGGAGCCAAAGAUUCUCAUCCUUCUGGUCAUCUGCUGAGAGCCCAGCUUUCUCUUUCUUUUUGGAGCAGAGCAAGUCAGCAGUAGGGAAGGUUUGUAGUGUCUGUGCUGAGGCACAGGAUUGCAGAAGUACUGUACUACGAUCUGAAUUAGAGGGGAGUUCCAGGGUUAGGAAAAUAGUCUCAAAAC